rnacentral:rRNA from 1 species
UACGUAGGGGGCAAGCGUUGUCCGGAUUUAUUGGGCGUAAAGAGCGUGUAGGCGGUUUGGUAGGUCCGCUGUGAAAACUCGAGGCUCAACCUCGAGACGCCGGUGGAAACCAUCAGACUAGAGUCCGGAAGAGGAGGAGUAGGUAUUCCGUGGUGUAGCGGUGAAAUGCGCAGAUAUCAGGAAGAACACCCGUGGCUAAGGCGGCUCUCUAGUACGGUACUGACGCUGAGACGCGAAAGCCGUGGGGAGCGAACAGG